rnacentral:lncRNA from 1 species
ACAAAGUAUGAAGAGAAUGUCGGGAGAGGAAGUGGUGGCUCUGAGUCAGCACGAGUCAUCUGGUUCCAGUGACAAUGAAGACUGAGAAUAACUGGGAGCUGAAACAGGAAGCCCCAUGACACAGUUGAUCGAAAAUGACACAGACACAGAAAAAUCAGGACGUGCCCCCAGCAGCACCCCUACCUGCUGCCUGCUGAUCACGGCUGGGAGGCCCGUCCAGGGUUCCCACCCGGGAACGGACUCUUAGCUACUCAGUGCUCACGGGUGCUGGGCCUGCAGAGCUUUUCGGAUGCUCUCUUACAGCUGGUUUGUUAUCUUUUAAUCAAUCAACUAAUUAAUCUAUUACUUUAUUUAUUGGCCCUCCCCAUGUCUUGAUCCUUUCUUCAUUAAAAGCAAAA